GGUUCAAGUUUUUAAGGGCACACGGUGAAUGCCUUGGCAUUAGGAGCCGAAGAAGGACGUAGGAAUCUGCGAUAAGCCUCGGGGAGUUGAUAACCGAACACUGAUCCGAGGAUGUCCGAAUGGGGAAACCCCGCUGCCUGUUAUGGG
rnacentral:rRNA from 1 species